CAGUCGCCGCGGGAAUACGAAGGGGGCUAGCGUUGUUCGGAUUUACUGGGCGUAAAGGGCGCGUAGGCGGGCUGAUAAGUCAGGGGUGAAAUCCCAAGGCUCAACCUUGGAACUGCCUUUGAUACUGUUGGUCUUGAGUCCGGGAGAGGUGAGUGGAACUGCGAGUGUAGAGGUGAAAUUCGUAGAUAUUCGCAAGAACACCAGUGGCGAAGGCGGCUCACUGGCCCGGAACUGACGCUGAGGCGCGAAAGCGUGGGGAGCAAACAGGAUUAGAGACCCCCGUAGUCCCUGUCUCUUAUAC
rnacentral:rRNA from 1 species